UACGUAGGGGGCAAGCGUUGUCCGGAAUCUUUGGGCGUAAAGGGCUCGUAGGCGGUUUGUCGCGUCGGGAGUGAAAAUCCAGGGCUUAACUCUGGACUGGCUUCCGAUACGGGCAGACUAGAGGUAUGCAGGGGAGAACGGAAUUCCUGGUGUAGCGGUGAAAUGCGCAGAUAUCAGGAGGAACACCGGUGGCGAAGGCGGUUCUCUGGGCAUUACCUGACGCUGAGGAGCGAAAGUGUGGGGAGCGAACAGG
rnacentral:rRNA from 1 species